GUGAACGCUGGCGGUAGGCCUAACCCAUGCAAGUCGAACGGCAGCACAGUAAGAGCUUGCUCUUACGGGUGGCGAGUGGCGGGCGGGUGAGGAAUACAUCGGAAUCUACUUUUUCGUGGGGGAUAACGUAGGGAAACUUACGCUAAUACCGCAUACGACCUACGGGUGAAAGCAGGGGAUCUUCGGACCUUGCGCGAUUGAAUGAGCCGAUGUCGGAUUAGCUAGUUGGCGGGGUAAAGGCCCACCAAGGCGACGAUCCGUAGCUGGUCUGAGAGGAUGAUCAGCCACACUGGAACUGAGACACGGUCCAGACUCCUACGGGAGGCAGCAGUGGGGAAUAUUGGACAAUGGGCGCAAGCCUGAUCCAGCCAUACCGCGUGGGUGAAGAAGGCCUUCGGGUUGUAAAGCCCUUUUGUUGGGAAAGAAAAGCAGCAGGUUAAUACCCCGCUGUUCUGACGGUACCCAAAGAAUAAGCACCGGCUAACUUCGUG
rnacentral:rRNA from 1 species